rnacentral:lncRNA from 1 species
AAUCUUGAGUACCCAGGGACACGAUACACUGCGGAAGGCUGCAGGGACCUCUGCCCAGGAAAGCCAGUUUUCUAAGGAUAAUGGUCUCCAGCUUCGUCAAUGUUCCUGCAAAGGACAUGAUGCUGACUUUGAAGAUGCAAGCUUCCACAUCUACAGCCUCAAGGAAACAAAUUCAGCCAACCAACUGAGGGAGCUUUCCUUGUCCUGCCUCAAGAUGAGAUCACAGUCUGCCCAACACCAUGAUUUAGGCCUUGUGACACCUGGUAUGGAAGACCCAGUUAAGUUCUCUCCAAACUCUUGACCCACAGAACCUGUGAGAAAAUAUAUGGAUAUUAUUUUAAACUGCUAAAUUUGUAGUAAUUUGUUAUGCAGCAAUAAAAAAAACUAAUGCAAGGAGA